rnacentral:misc_RNA from 1 species
CUUCAAAUUCUUUUUCUUGUUCAUUUUCAAUUUCAAGUUGCUUUUUGGAUUUAAGGUGCUCUUGUUUUCUUGCUCUUAACAACUUUUGAGAACUCUUCAAGCUCUCUUUUAGGUCAACUUUCGGUAAUUCAUCAAAUUCUGCUUUUAGUUUGGGCCAAAGGCUUAAAUAAGCCCUUGAAAUGUUCUCUAAUAUUCAAUUGAGUCCUGAAACAAAGUUUGGGAUCAAUUGGGCCGUUUAAGUUUUUUAAAAAGGACCUAAUAAACCCAAGUCUAACAGUCGUUGUCUUCUGUUAAUCUCUAUUAUGUGGGGCCCACUAAUUAGAACAUAAAUCCCCAAAUUGAAAGAGAAAUCUCUAAAUCAUUGGUUCCAACUUUGGCCUCUUUGCUGCCUCUCGUCGCUUCCAAGAUGAUCGAAUCAAUAUCCAUGGGCUUUGGUAGGUUGCUUCGUGUCUUCCCUUUCAAAUCGAUUCACUGGAUAAUAUUUCCCAUUCUCUGUUGUCUGCAAUUGGACCUAUAAUCUACUUUAUUGGGCGGAAUGGAUUGGUGUGUUAUGAUAAUUGGAGCGGCAUUAUUUCUCUCAGGUCUUCCAUGAUUUUUCUUGAAAAGAAAUUCACCAGCGCCGUAGCCUCUGGCAAACUUCGCGUUGUGGAAGUGGAUCACGUGAUUGUUGAUGCUUUUGACAAUGGGAUAGAUGCUAAAAGGAAAUUGCGAGAGAUUAAGCUUCUUUGACACAUGAACCUUGAAAAUGUCAGUUUCUUUGUUGCUAUUGGUCCUGAAUUCUUAAUAUUAACUUAUAUUGCCUCUUAGAAUUGUCUUUUGUCUUUUUGUUUUUAUAUGGAACAUCAUUUUUUGUAGUUAUAGACUUUUUAUUUUCCUUUUUAAUCCAUGAUUCAUUGUUGUUGGGUUACUUUCCUUCUUUCUUUUCUUAGUUUUGCUUUUGAAUGCCUAAUUAUGAAUGAGACAACUCAGAAAUUUCUAGGAGUACUCGUAAUAUUUUUUCAGUGGGUGCUGCUCUUUUCUCUAGUUUAAACACAGUGCUAAAAGAGGAAGAGCUUCUGUUCUUGAUGUCUUUUAACAACAACAAAGCUUAAUUAACGAUUGUUAACGUUCAUUCACGUGACCCAAAUUUGUGGUCCAAUUUGUAUGAUUUUUAAUAUUGUCAAUAUCUAUUUGUUAAUUUUAAAAACUUAAAGAACCUAAUUGACCCUAAACUUUGUUUAAGAGCUCAAUUGACUAUCAAAGAACACUUAUUUGUGCCUUUAGCCUUCAGUUUAAGUAUGCUAUCAAACUGUGACUUCGGUUGAGACAAACGUU